rnacentral:rRNA from 1 species
GACCCUACGGGGCGCAGCAGUGGGGGAUAUUGCACAAUGGGGGGAACCCUGAUGCAGCGACGCCGCGUGGGCGAUGGAGUACUUCGGUAUGUAAAGCCCUAUCAGCAGGGAAGAAAAUGACGGGACCUGACUAAGAAGCCCCGGCUAAAAACGUGCCAGCAGCCGCGGUAAUACGUAUGGGGCAAGCGUUAUCCGGAUUUACUGGGGGUAAAGGGAGCGUAGGCGGCCUGGCAAGCAUGAUGUGAAA